CAGUCGAACGGCAGCGGGGGAGCUUGCUCCUGCCGGCGAGUGGCGAACGGGUGAGUAAUGCAUCGGAACGUGUCCUGUUGUGGGGGAUAACUGAUCGAAAGAUCAGCUAAUACCGCAUGAGACCUGAGGGUGAAAGCGGGGGAUCGCAAGACCUCGCGCGACAGGAGCGGCCGAUGUCUGAUUAGCUAGUUGGUGAGAUAAAAGCUUAUCAAGGCGACGAUCAGUAGCUGGUCUGAGAGGAUGAUCAGCCACAUUGGGACUGAGACACGGCCCAGACUCCUACGGGAGGCAGCAGUGGGGAAUUUUGGACAAUGGGGGAAACCCUGAUCCAGCCAUGCCGCGUGCGGGAUGAAGGCCUUCGGGUUGUAAACCGCUUUUGUCAGAGACGAAAAGGGACGUACGAAUAAUACGUUCCGCUGACGGUAUCUGAAGAAUAAGCACCGGCUAACUACGUGCCAGCAGCCGCGGUAAUACGUAGGGUGCAAGCGUUAAUCGGAAUUACUGGGCGUAAAGGGUGCGCAGGCGGCUGUGCAAGACAGAUGUGAAAUCCCCGGGCUUAACCUGGGAACUGCAUUUGUGACUGCAUGGCUAGAGUUUGUCAGAGGAGGGUGGAAUUCCGCGUGUAGCAGUGAAAUGCGUAGAUAUGCGGAAGAACACCAAUGGCGAAGGCAGCCCUCUGGGACAUGACUGACGCUCAUGCACG
rnacentral:rRNA from 1 species